rnacentral:rRNA from 1 species
GAUGAACGCUGGCGGCGUGCUUAACACAUGCAAGUCGAACGAAGCACUUUUAAUUCUUCGGAAGAGAAAGUGACUGAGUGGCGGACGGGUGAGUAACGCGUGGGUAACCUGCCUUAUACAGGGGGAUAACAGUUAGAAAUGACUGCUAAUACCGCAUAAGCCGAUAGAGUCGCAUGACUUAGUCGGAAAAGAUUUAUCGGUAUAAGAUGGACCCGCGUCUGAUUAGCUAGUUGGUGAGGUAAUGGCCCACCAAGGCGGCGAUCAGUAGCCGGCUUGAGAGAGUGAACGGCCACAUUGGGACUGAGACACGGCCCAAACUCCUACGGGAGGCAGCAGUGGGGAAUAUUGCACAAUGGGGGAAACCCUGAUGCAGCAACGCCGCGUGAAGGAAGAAGUAUUUCGGUAUGUAAACUUCUAUCAGCAGGGAAGAAAAUGACGGUACCUGACUAAGAAGCCCCGGCUAACUACGUGCCAGCCGCCGCCGUAA